GUCGGAGGACUGCACCACUGUCCAUCCAUACAAAAUGCAAUAACUGUUUUGAAGGCAAGCCUCACGGUGCCAUGAAUCUAAAGCGAAAAAUGAGAAGCUUCUAAGGAGAGAUGGUCUAAUGAAGACAUUUAGCACGAAGAAGAAGCAGGGAGAACUAAAAUUUAUCACCAAGAAAGUCUCGUCAUGCAGGUUUUCCGGCUCGAUUCUGAAAGUUCACUAAGUGGGGAAGGGCUUUAGAUAAGCUUUCGAGAUUCUGAACUUGAAGCUGGUAUGGUUUGCGGUUUCCCUGUCGCUAUGCAAAGCUCUUGCUGGCAACCGCCCAUUAUCAACAAUGCCCUCUUGGAAUUUCUUAUGUGUGGAGAGACAGGUUGACAACCCCGACUGGCUUUUCCAAAGAGAUAGUCUUGCGUUGUUAGGGAUGCCACGAAAGUUCUGAUUGAGUCUCGCAAGGCCCUGGGCCAAUGGGGAUGUCUCGUCUCAGGGGAGGAACUCUUUAUGCAGUCGCUCUGGGGAGGUGCCCACACACUUACCUUUCCUUGCAUUACACAACCGGAUAGCAUGCCAGCUCCAGGCUUGUGGCCGUUUCAUAACCAGCCCUUUCAUGUGUUAUGUGUGAAGUUUGAAAUAAAGCUGUCUUUGACCACCACGCUACAGAAACGAUGGCUUUGAUUCCAGGGUAAGGCAUGAACACGUUUUCCCAGAGAAACAUGCACUUAGACUUGGUGGUAAAGAGAUCACGGUCUCCCUGGCCAGUUACUGCGUUCUUGGGAAUUCUACUGAUUUGUCAAAACACGACUGAUGUUCAGAAAGCUGACGAGGCGCAUGUGUCUCACAUCUUCAUAUCAGAAAUCCUUCUCCUUCUCCGUUCUGAAUUUACCGAGCCAGAGUCCAUGUAAGAACAAACUGUGGUCCCCUCGGUGACACGGCACAAGACAGCCUUGUAGGUUGUGGGAUAUGCCGAACCACAAAAUCCUGAAAGGAGACUAUUAUCUCUAUUCUAUGGAUGAAUCAGCUUGCCCGGAUUCCCAAACCCUGGUGAUGGAGCCAGGAUUUGUGCCCAGAUCAGUCUGAUUUCCAGGUCCCUGCUUCUCCACUGAUGGGGAAAAGUCUCUGAUCUGUGGAAAGGGGAGGUAUAUGUAGGAGAAUGGUAAAAAAUGAAGAUGAAGUUAAUCUGUUGUUAGAAUAUGUUAAAGACCUCGGAUGGUACUCUAUACCGUAAGACAAGUGAAGAUAUUAAAAAUUCUUACCCAGGGGAGUGAUUCUUUGAAAGUAUUCAUUUAGGAAAUUGAAUCUGAAUAGAUUGAAAAAAGAGAAAGAAGGAGAUCAUGUAACAAUUAUCGUAACAUUUCUGAGCUGAGAUAAAUGGAAAUGAACGAAGAAGGAACAGGAAUAAUGGUAGUUUAAAAAUGGGAGAAUUAUUGGAUUAUUGUAGGGCAAAGUCAGGAGGAAGAUGCAGCCUUAAUACUAUUGUCCAUUGUCUCCUGGUGUGCCCAUGUCCUUUUUUAUUGUAUCUGUGGUACCUGUUUCUGAUGAGAGUCCCUAUUCUCAACACACAUAUUCACAUCACACACACACACACACACACACACACACACACACACACACGGUCCUCUCUUUGCUUUUGAUAAUCUGUAUUUUGUAGUUUUUUUUUCUCCAAAACAAAUAUGAAUUAUUGUGAAAUAAAAAAGGAAAUUUAAGGGGCGCCUGGUGGCUCAACCAGUUAAGUGUCUGACUCUUGGUUUUGGCUCAG